rnacentral:tRNA from 1 species
UCCCUGGUGGCUCAGAGGGUAAAGCGUCUGCCUGCAGUGCAGGAGACCUGGGUUCAAUCCCUACCUUGGGAA